GUGCUUGCUUCGGUAGCACAUAUACUAAAAAUUGGAACGAUGCAGAGAAGAUUAGCAUGGCUCCUGUGCAAGGAUGACUCACAAAUUCGUGACGCGUUCCAUAUUUUU
rnacentral:snRNA from 1 species